UUCUCUCUUCUUCUGCAUGAUCUCUUCAGCAGUAAGGCCAUGGUUGCCAUUCUCAACCAGCUUCGGGGCAGAAGACGUGCCUUUGCCUUGAUCUGCUUUGACAAGUUUUACCACAGGAGUUGGAAAAGAUUGUACAACAAGAUCUAGGAGCCGCCAUGUUUGGCAAUAUCACACUCUGCUGUUGACCAAAAUUAACUGCAGUCCCGCUUGCAAACAUCACGUGACCAAGGCCCGGGAAACAGGUUUACUUCUUUUUACACGUCACGUAGUAGUAUGAAGAUGACUCUCCUGCAGUAAUCCUAUCGCCUGCUUGUCCAUCAUGCAUUGGGUUUUCUCCGGGCACUCCAGUUUCCUCCCACAUCCCAAAAACAUGCGUGGUAGGUUGAUUGAGGACUCUAAGUAGUAGUAUGAAGAUGACUCUCCUGCAGUAAUCCUAUUGCCUGCUUGUCCAUCAUGCAUUGGGUUUUCUCCGGGCACUCCAGUUUCCUCCCACAUCCCAAAAACAUGCGUGGUAGGUUGAUUGAGGACUCUAAAUUGCCCGUAGGUGUGAAUGUGAGUGCGAAUGGUUGUUUGUUUCUAUGUGCCGUGCGAUUGGCUGGCGACCGGUUCAGGGUGUACCCCGCCUCCUGCCUGAAGAUAGCUGGGAUAGGCUCCGGCACGCCAGCGACCCUUGUGAGGAUAAGUGGUAAAGAAAAUGGAUGGAUGGCUAGUGGUGGGCAAUUGAAGCCUU